UUGUCGAAUCCUGCAAAGCAGACGACCGCGAACUUGUGUAAUUGCCGGGCGUCGGGGAACGGGGGAGACUAAAGCCUCCCCUAACUCCCCGGCGCUCCCCGCGCACCGCGCGGACAACAACUCAACCCCGGCGCGGAAAGCGCCAAGGAAAACUCAAAAGGAUUGCCCGCCUCCCCGUGCGCGGGGUGUGUUGUGGCGUCUGUCGUAACCAAAACGACUCUCGGCAACGGAUAUCUCGGCUCUCGCAUCGAUGAAGAACGUAGCGAAAUGCGAUACUUGGUGUGAAUUGCAGAAUCCCGUGAACCAUCGAGUCUUUGAACGCAAGUUGCGCCCGAAGCCAUUAGGCCGAGGGCACGCCUGCCUGGGCGUCACGCAUCGCGUCGCCACCCCCCUUUUGCGGGGCGGCGGAUACUGGCCUCCCGUCCCAAGAAGGCGCGGCUGGCCUAAAUUCGAGUCCUCGACGGGGGACGUCACGACAAGUGGUGGUUGAAUGCCUCAACUCGAUUCCUGUCGUGUUCAUUGGCCUCGUCGUGUCUCGGGCUCCUUGACCCUUCUUGCUUGCAUCUCGAUGCGAGCCUCGACCGCGACCCCA
rnacentral:rRNA from 1 species